AAACAUACACACACCCCUGAUUCCAGAAACACAACAGGAGCUGACUCAAAAGGGAGUGUCUGGUGCAGGCAUGCAGGGAGGAAGAAUGACUCUGAGCUUGACCAUUCAACUUCGAAACUUUAACAUCAAUGGAUCAGCACACACUGGUGUACGGUCUGCUAUGCAUGCAGCCCUGUGCUAGGCAAAAGAAGUAUCAGACCAGGAACUGACAGCCUCACUGCAACAGGAAGAGAGGCUUCACACAAUAAGCGUUUCAUUCAACCAGGCUGGACCUGUGCUUAUUGAGUUGAACAUCACUGAGCACAAAAUGCAAGCCAGACACCAUAAGAGCUGUAAGGAUGAUAAAGAUGUCUUUCUACCCUCGAGAGCUCUAAGUGUGGUCAGGAGAGAAACACAUGCAAAGAUUAUGCUGGCUGGAAGGAAAUGCUGGAAUGAAGGUGGAAGCAUUCUAUUCAUCUAAAAGCACCGGUAAUUAACGAUGCUAAUAAAUGUAUAAUCCCUUUGUAAACAUCUCUUCACAAGGUCAUAAAGAAGGAAGACUGAAUGAAGGACGCCAGGCUUUCAUUUUAGAAUUAAUUUUGUCAUUGAAUGCACUCACUGCAUUAUUUGAUAGAGUACUUUUGCAUUUGAAGUAGUACAUUUGCCUUCUACCAUCUCAUUAACAUUGCUUUCAACAGAAUCAGAAAUAACACAAACCACUGCAGGGUAAUUUUGAAUGCUCAUUUGACUAUGCAGUGACAUCAAGUGGCGAGUUGAGGAAUGAUCAUAUGCUGUGUGAGAACUCCGUGUUAAAAAUUCCAUGGAGCCAGGCUAGACACCACAUUUGGCACUUUCAGCUGUUUAGAUUUCAGAGAAUUAAAAGGAAAUGGUCACCGACCUGCCUUUGAUAGUACCCGUAUACCCCUUCCCACCAUAAGAAACCAGCGUUCCUUAGAGAAAUGGCUAAUUCUAGCUCUAGGGCAAGAAAUGCUAAGAUGUGCUCAAAACAUCUCAUUAUACCAGCAAGCCAGGGAGCCAUCAACGACUACUGGAGCUGUGUCAAAAGGACCAACAAACCAACUUGAAGAGGCUCCCGCUGGCCAACAGUGGGGCAAUUAGAGCAUCAAUAAGAAUAAUAUCUGUAACAAACUGAAACGUAUCAAAUAUGUUUAAAUUCAUAUGUUUAUAAUUACACUCAAAAAACGAAGAUGCAGACCACUUUACCUUGAGGAUGUUACAGAAUGAAAUUAUCAUUCUGAAAACUGGUAAAUAAAGAGAAGGUAUCAAGUAAGCAUGUAUCUGGCUUUUUCUAUAUGAAAUAAAGGAAGCCAAAUAGUAAACGAGGGGAAGUUUCUCUUUACUGAAAUAUUGCAGGUAAUAAAAGAAGAAGGAGAAACAGAGAACAUUAUCGUUUUAUGGCCUCUAAUGGAACAAGACAUCUAGGCAAUGAUGAACUAUGGUCACCAACAUCACUCAAUCAGGGACAAUCAGACACUGUGGGCCCCUGAAGGAAGUAAACACCACCACGUAGGAAAUAUUCUCACCAAAACUUCAAAAACUUGAAUCUGAUCUAGUCUUUAGUUUCAACUACUAAUUUACAGGCAAUACGGGGCUCAGAGGGAUGUGGUAAAAUGUCACGGAAAUAUAAUCAGCAAAAUCCAGUACAGAUAAUAAGAAGACAAAUGAUCCACAGAUGGAAAGGAAGAAUGUAAAGUUGUGUUGGUAAAGAAAUUCACAGAUUAAUAAAAGCUUAAAAAUGUACCAUCA
ensembl:lncRNA GPRC5D-AS1 GPRC5D and HEBP1 antisense RNA 1